rnacentral:rRNA from 1 species
AUUGAACGCUGGCGGCAGGCCUAACACAUGCAAGUCGAACGAGUGGCGGACGGGUGAGUAAUGUCUGGGCAACUGCCCGAUGGAGGGGGAUAACUACUGGAAACGGUAGCUAAUACCGCAUACCAUCGGAUGUGCCCAGCUGGGAUUAGCUAGUAGGUGGGGUAACGGCUCACCUAGGGGACGAUCCCUAGCUGGUCUCAGAGGUUGACCAGCCACUCUGGAACUGAGACACGGUCCAGACUCCUACGGGAGGAAGCAGGGGGAAAUAUUGCACAAUGGGCGCAAGCCUGAUGCAGCCAUGCCGCGUGUAUGAAGAAGGCCUUCGGGUUGUAAGGUCCUUUCAGCGGGGAGGCGUUACCCGCAGAAGAAGCACCGGCUAACUCCGUGCCAGCAGCCGCGGUAAUAC